rnacentral:rRNA from 1 species
GGGAGGCAGCAGUGGGGAAUAUUGGGCAAUGGGGGAAACCCUGACCCAGCGACGCCGCGUGGGUGAUGAAGGCCUUCGGGUCGUAAAGCCCUGUCGGGAGGAAAGAACGACCUUGCGGUAAAUAUCCGCAAGGUGUGACGGUACCUCCGAAGGAAGCACCGGCCAAUUCCGUGCCAGCACCGCGGUA